UGGGGAAUUUUGGACAAUGGGCGAAAGCCUGAUCCAGCAAUGCCGCGUGUGUGAAGAAGGCCUUCGGGUUGUAAAGCACUUUUGUCCGGAAAGAAAUCCUUGGCUCUAAUACAGUCGGGGGAUGACGGUACCGGAAGAAUAAGCACCGGCUAACUACGUGCCAGCAGCCGCGGUAAUACGUAGGGUGCAAGCGUUAAUCGGAAUUACUGGGCGUAAAGCGUGCGCAGGCGGUUUGCUAAGACCGAUGUGAAAUCCCCGGGCUCAACCUGGGAACUGCAUUGGUGACUGGCAGGCUAGAGUAUGGCAGAGGGGGGUAGAAUUCCACGUGUAGCAGUGAAAUGCGUAGAGAUGUGGAGGAAUACCGAUGGCGAAGGCAGCCCCCUGGGCCAAUACUGACGCUCAUGCACGAAAGCGUGGGGAGCAAACAGGAUUAGAUACCCCUGGUAGUCCACGCCCCUAAAACGAUGGUCAACUAGUUGUUGGGGGAUUCAUUUCCUUAGUAACGUAGCUAACGCGUGAAGUUGACCGCCUGGGGAGUACGUCGCAAGAUUAAAACUCAAAGGAAUUGACGGGGUCAUAGCUGUUUCCU
rnacentral:rRNA from 1 species